UGUAAGCGUAUACCAAAGUUGUUGCAGUUAAAACGCUCAUAGUCGGAAUUUGGCAGUUCCGGAAGUGUGCACGUCGUGUGCGCACUUUGCGGGGACUGCUUUUGUGGUCUUGCGUAGGAUGAGGCACUUUCAUUAGUGAACGUCCUCACGCAACCACUCUUUACUGUGAGAAAAUCAGAGUGCUCAAAGCAGGCAUUUGCCGUGAAUGUAUUAGCAUGGAAUAAUAGAAUAGGACUCGGUUCUAUUUUGUUGGUUUGUUGGGACUGAGUAAUGAUUAAGAGGGACAGUUGGGGGCAUUUGUAUUCCGGCGCUAGAGGUGAAAUUCUUAGAUUGCCGGAAGACAAACUGCUGCGAAAGCGUCUGCCAAGGAUGUUUUCAUUGA
rnacentral:rRNA from 1 species